rnacentral:sRNA from 1 species
GAUAUGCAACAGAAGUUGAAUAAAAGGAGAGACUCUGUUUCUGAAUGGAAAAUUAAUAAAUGUUAAUUUCAUGGACCAGUUUCAUGGAAGAUAAUUUUUCCGUGGACUGGAGGUGGAGGGGGAUGGUUUCAGGAUGAUUCAAGUGCAUUACAUUUACUUAGUUAAAAUAUAAAUUUGACACAUUUCCAUUAGUGUCCCAAAAGGUACUUUUCUACUGUACUUGACAGUUGAUACUGUAGUUCAUCUGGAAGAAUAAAUGAGAAAGUAGUAAAAUAUAAACAAAUUACCGUAAUACAAGGGGCUUGUUUUUAUCAAAUAUUAAAAUGGACCAUGAAGCCAUAGGCCAGCAUAGUUUUGGCAGAGAAGAGCAAGAUCAGAGAAGAACGGAGAAUCCACAGAUAGGUCCAAGUAUGUAUGUUGGCUUACUAUGUGACAAAAAUGGCAAUUCAAACCAUGGAAAACACAUUUAGUCGUUUAUUUAUUUUUAGAAUUGUGUUUAUCCAUUUAUUUAAUAAAUAGAUAAUAGAACUUAAAUAAAUAGAGUAUUUGAAACAAAACAAAACCAUUCUCCCAUGUUACAGUAGACUUACUCCCUGAUGGACAAUGGAGAAGGAAGGGUGAGGGGUGGAUGACAGGAAAUUACUGAAUAGGCACAGUGUACAUUAUUUGGGUGAUGGAUACCCUAAGUGCCCUGACUUCACCACUAUGCAAUCCUAUGUAUGUAAUGAAAUUGCACUUGUGCCUCACAAAUUUAUACAAAUUAUAAACAACAACAACAACAAUAGACUAUUCCCUAAAAGAGCUGUGCCCCAGACCAUCCACUAGGUCAGCAGUCCCCAGCCUUUUUGACAUCAGGGACUGGUUUCAUGGAAGAUAAUUUUUCCAUGGACCGGAGGUGAAGGGGGAUGGUUUCAGGAUGAUUGAAGCACAUUACAUUUACUGUGCACUUUUUUUCUAUUAUUAUUACAUUGCAAUAUAUAAUGAAAUAAUUACACAGCUCACCAUAAUGUAAAGUCAGUGGGAGCCCUGAGCUUGUUUUCCUGCAACUAGAUGGUCCCAUCUGGGGAUGAUGAUCAACAGAUCAUCAGGCAUUAGAUUCUCAGGAGCACACAACCUAGAUCCCUCACAUGUGCAGUUCCCAAUAGGGUUCUGCUCCUAUGAGAGUUGAAUGCCACAGCUGACCUGACAGGAGGCGGAGCUCAGGCUGUAAUGCAAGUGUUGUGGGGUGGCUGUAAAUACAGAUGAAGCUUCGCUCGCCUGCUCACCUCCUGCUGUGCAACUUGGUUCCUAAUCUACUGGUACCCAUCCAUGGCCCAGGGGUUGGGAAGCCCUGCACUAGGUGAACUUACGUAAAUGAUUUGGUUUCUGUAUGCGUUACCCCUUGUAAGAGCAACGUGUGAAGCCCAUGGUGGUGGGGUGGAAGAGUGGGAAUUGGAUGGAAAAUCAUCUAGGCUUUUUUCUUUUUGGAGUUCUGCUUUCAUCUAAUAUUUCUAUUCAGCAGUCAGUUCAGAAAGAUACUCAGUAGUAAGAUACUCAUGCUGAAGGAUUGAAAUUGGCUCUGACUUUCUAAAUUUCACAUACAGGUCCAUUGUUCUGUUGAGCACAAGAGGAGAAAUAAAGCAGUUGAACAUUUCACACUUACUAGUACCUCUGGGAUUAGCCAAACCAGCUCAUCUUUAUGACAAAGGGAGUACCAUAUUUUUGGGAUUCAGUGGAAACUUUAAACCAUCAUGGACUAAGCUAUUUACCAGUCCUGCUGGACAGGGCCUUGGGGUGCUUGAACAAUUCAUACCUUUGCAGCUGGACGAAUAUGGUUGUCCCAGAGCCACCACUGUCCACAGAAGAGACCUGGAACUGCUAAAGCAAGCUUCAAAAGCACAUUAGAGACUAACUGUAACUUAAGUGCUGGGGGAAAAAAAAUGUGAACUAACUUAUUUAAUUUAUGGCAUUUUAAAAUGACACUGUUAACCCAACGGAACCAUUUUCCAGUUUGAUACAGAAUGGGGAGAAAAGAAAGCGUUUGAAAUUAUUGCUUGGAUACCAGCUUCAUGCACCUUCUAGUUGUACAAAAUGUUAAAGACGUUGUUUGUAUUUGUAAGGCUGGUGUAUUCAGAGAGCAGAUCUCUUAUUCCUCACUUUCCACCCCCGUAUUUUGUAAUGACCAUGAGCAAUGCUUUUACUUUUUGUAUAAUGGGGUGGGGUGGAGUGGGGGCUUCUGAGAGUCAGCCUGAGGUCUUUAGAGGACCAGCUAUUGUAGCACCUUGGAUACUUGAAGUCUAAUGCUCAGUUGGGUCGGAUGGCGGUUGACUUGGUGGCUGGCAUGUUCAGCAGUGCCUGGGGCCCUGUUUCUGGGCAGCCUUUGAGGAUUUUCUAUGAUAUUGAAUGACAGUUUUAAGUGGCAACUCAGGCCCAGCUCAUGCCCUUUUUUGCCUGGACAUGUGCUAUUUUUAUUCACUUAUAUAUCAAUUACUUGUAAGGGUUAAACUUUCAAACAGGAAGUAUAUUGGGACAAAAGGGCUCUUGGGGAUUAGAUAUCCCUUAAUCUGUGACCAUUGGGCAAAAAAUUUUCCUGCAGCAAAAGUCUGAGGCUGUUGGGACCAUUUUUGCAGCUUUAAUCCUUAGCCUCUUUUGACUGUAUAUUUGUGUUUAAAAUGCAGAGCUCAACUGAAUAUUUCCUUUUUUGUUUUGUUUUGUUUUGUUUUGUUUUAAGAAGUAGGUUGUUUUCCUGAACCGUAAACUUGUAUCAUUUUAACUUGCACAAAGGAAGUCUGUUCUUGGUAUUGCUCUUGCACUUGGGUUUUUUGUUACUGUUUUGUGUGGAUUUUUUAGAGCUUUUCUGUUCACCCUCCUGCCAGGAAAAUCCCAGAAAGCUUAAUGAUACCCCAAAAUGAUUACACCCAGGGAGGAAAAAAAGGAGCGCUUUCCAGGGUCAGAAUCGUGGAGAGAAUACUCAGAAAUGAACCUCUUUAAAGCCUUACAGGAAUGAGUCACUCUUACUUAAUGAAAUGUUAAAGCCAAUUAAAAAGCGUGCUGUGAUGCCCAGCUUCCCUUUCCACAGGGUGCAUGCAUCUCCUGCUGGUGAAUCACAUGCGGCAAGAGGCAACUGGCUCCACAGCCUGGGAUGCUGCUGUACCAAGAGGAAAGAAGCAGCAAAAUGCCUUUAUGUUGUUCUAAACCCCCCACGCAUAAAGUGUAGAGGAGGGAUGGCCAAGGGUGGGUGGUAGAAAGUGUGUUCAGGCUGACACUGGCAGUGAGUACAGAUAAUUUCACUUUCCUCUUCCAGGGUCAAAGGCUGAUGGCCUCUACCUUUGUAUCCAGGAGAAACUGCAGAGCAGCCCUGUGACUUUACAAAAUAUGCUACCUCAAAGUGCUACCGAUAAACCUUUCUAACUAUAAGUGCCCUUACUAAGGGCACAUGUCUUAAUCAAAGUUAGUUUUUUGUUUUCUGGUUUUUUUUUUUUUUUUUUUUUGUAUAUUGAUGAAUGAGAUCUUACCUAUUAAAUAUAUUAUUGGAUCAUG